CCUGGCUCCAUGGGGCUUGGGCAGGCUCAGGCUUCAGUCCCCCCUCCUGGGGUAGUGAAGUAAUGUUUAUUGUCAGAAGGGUGUCGCAGUGCAAUGAAGUCUGAGAACCCCUAG